UACGUAGGGUGCGAGCGUUGUCCGGAAUUAUUGGGCGUAAAGCGUCCGCAGGUGGCUAUGUAAGUCUGCUGUUAAAGAGUCUGGCUCAACCAGAUAAAGGCAGUGGAAACUACAUGGCUAGAGUGCGUUCGGGGCAGAGGGAAUUCCUGGUGUAGCGGUGAAAUGCGUAGAGAUCAGGAAGAACACCGGUGGCGAAAGCGCUCUGCUAGGCCGCAACUGACACUGAGGGACGAAAGCUAGGGGAGCGAAUGGG
rnacentral:rRNA from 1 species